AUCUGGUUGUGGGUUCUAACGGUCACAGUAGGAACAACAUCCUCUAUUUUAUUUAACCUUUAUUUAACUAAUCAAGUCAGUUACGAACAAAUUCUUAUUUACAAUGAUGGCCUACUUGUAAACCCCCCCCCUCCCCUCCCCUCCCCUAACCCGGACGACACUGGGCCAAAUGUGCGCCGCCCUAUGGAACUCCCGAUCACGGCCGGUUGUGAUACAGACCGGGAUCGAGCCCUGGGUCUGUAGUGACGCCUCUAUAUUACGGCCAAAGACAGAGUCAGUGUGUUGAUUCAUUGUGUUGAUGAUUAACUUUGUGAACAGGAAUCAAAGCUAGGCUGCAAUGGGAGAAAACCACCCAAUACACACACACACACGCACACGCACACACACACACAGCUGUUUGUUCUGGUGUCUGAUGCAGUACCUUGUUUUCUCCAGGUGAGGGCGCUCUCUGCAGAAUCCCUAUAGAGAAUAUCCUGGCAGUAGAGAGACUGGAGGAAGAGUCCUUCAAGAUGAAGAACAUGUUCCAGGUAAUCCAGCCAGAGAGGGCUCUCUACAUCCAGGCCAAUAACUGUGUGGAGGCCAGGGACUGGAUAGACAUCCUGACCAAGGUCAGCCAGUGCAACAGGAAGAGACUGAGCACAUACCACCCCUCAGCUUACCUCAACGGUCACUGGCUCUGCUGCAAGAUGUCUGCCGACACAGAACCAGGCUGUACACCCUGUACUGGGUGAGUAACUGGGUUGCUCUCUGUCUGUCUGUCUGUCUGUCUCUCUCUCUCUGUCUCUCUCUCUCUCUCUCUCUCUCUCUCUCUCUCUCUCUCUCUCUCUCUCUCUCUCUCUCUCUCUCUCUCUCUCUCUCUCUCUCUCUCUCUCUCUCUCUCUCUCUCUCUCUCUCUCUCUCUCUCUCUCUCUCUCUCUGUCUCUCUCUCUCUCUGUCUCUCUCUCUCUCUCUCUCUCUCUCUGUCUCUCUCUCUGUCUCUC